GGCUUCAUGGUCUAGUGGUAUGAUUCUUGCUUUGGGCUACCUCCUCAUUUGCAAGAGGCCCCGCGUUCGAGUCGCGGUGGAGCCC